rnacentral:rRNA from 1 species
GCGCGAAAACUUUACAAUGCUGGCAACAGCGGUAAGGGAACCUCGAGUGCCAGGUUACAAAUCUGGCUGUCGAGAUGCCUAAAAAGCAUUUCAUAGCAAGGGCCGGGCAAGACCGGUGCCAGCCGCCGCGGUAACACCGGCGGCUCGAGUGGUAACCGUUAUUAUUGGGUCUAAAGGGUCUGUAGCCGGCCGGAUAAUUCUCUUGAGAAAUCUGGCAGCUUAACUGUCAGGCUUUCAGGAGAUACUGUCUGGCUCGAGGCCGGGAGAGGUGAGAGGUACUUCAGGGGUAGGGGUGAAAUCUUGUAAUCCUUGAAGGACCACCAGUGGCGAAGGCGUCUCACCAGAACGGACCUGACGGCAAGGGACGAAAGCUAGGGGCACGAACC